GAGGCUUUACAUGGCUAGUCGAGGGGGCAUCGGGAGGGAAGCUUACUUUCCUUGCCGGCGACCGGCGCACGGGUGACUAACACGUAUGCAACCUGCCCUCUUCAGGGGGACAACCUUCCGAAAGGGAGGCUAAUCCCGCGUAUAUCGGUUUCGGGCAUCCGUUAUCGAGGAAAGAUUCAUCGGAAGAGGAUGGGCAUGCGGCGCAUUAGCUAGACGGCGGGGUAACGGCCCACCGUGGCGACGAUGCGUAGGGGUUCUGAGAGGAAGGUCCCCCACACUGGUACUGAGACACGGACCAGACUCCUACGGGAGGCAGCAGUGAGGAAUAUUGGUCAAUGGGAGAGAUCCUGAACCAGCCAAGCCGCGUGAGGGAAGACGGCCCUAUGGGUUGUAAACCUCUUUUGUCGGAGAACAAAACCCGGGACGUGUCCCGGACUGCGUGUAUCCGAAGAAAAAGCAUCGGCUAACUCCGUGCCAGCAGCCGCGGUAAUACGGAGGAUGCGAGCGUUAUCCGGAUUUAUUGGGUUUAAAGGGUGCGUAGGCGGUCUGUUAAGUCAGCGGUAAAAUUGCGGGGCUCAACCCCGUCGAGCCGUUGAAACUGGCAGACUUGAGUUGGCGAGAAGUACGCGGAAUGCGCGGUGUAGCGGUGAAAUGCAUAGAUAUCGCGCAGAACUCCGAUUGCGAAGGCAGCGUACCGGCGCCAGACUGACGCUGAGGCACGAAAGCGUGGGGAUCGAACAGGAUUAGAUA
rnacentral:rRNA from 1 species